rnacentral:rRNA from 1 species
GACGAACGCUGGCGGCGUGCCUAACACAUGCAAGUCGAACGGAGAUACGAUUUCGGUUGUAUCUUAGUGGCGAACGGGUGAGUAACGCGUGAGCAACCUGACUCUUAGAGGGGGAUAACACUCGGAAACGGGUGCUAAUACCGCAUAAGACCACGACAUGGCAUCAUGACAAGGUCAAAGGAGCAAUCCGCUGAGAGAGGGGCUCGCGUCCCAUUAGAUAGAUGGCGGGGUAACGGCCCACCAUGUCCGCGAUGGGUAGCCGAGCUGAGAGGCCGAUCGGCCACACUGGAACUGAGACACGGUCCAGACUCCUACGGGAGGCAGCAGUGGGGAAUAUUGGGCAAUGGGCGCAAGCCUGACCCAGCAACGCCGCGUGAGGGAAGAAGGCUUUCGGGUUGUAAACCUCUGUCCUUGGUGACGAAAAAAAUGACGGUAGCCAAGGAGGAAGCCCCGGCUAACUACGUGCCAGCAGCCGCGGUAA